CUCCCCCCCCACGUCGUCGCUCGCCUCCGCCCCGCCCCCUGCUUCCCCGUCCCCCCUCCCCCCCCCGCUCCCCCCCAGCUGGCGAGCCGGGCGAGGAGGGCGGCUCGCGCUGCCGGCACGUCGCUGACACUCGCGCGAGGUGGCAUGAAACAUCCUAUUCGUCAGCAUAUACAUAAGGAAUGCUCUUGGCACACCUUGACAAGUUGCUUUGGCCUAAACAUCGAUUGCCGCUUGUAAAAACCUAAAUGGCAGCUCAGAAAAGGAAGUCGAUGUUAGUAGAGCCUUCUGCUAAACGUCCAAAGCUGGACAAGAACAGCAAACCGUCAUCAGUGAAGAAGGAAAAGGAGGUGUCAGAUAUAAAACAUGUCUCAAAUAAAUCAAAGCCUAAUCAGUGUGCAGUGCAGGAGAAAACUGUACUCAAAACCUCUGCCAAAUCAAACAGUGAUAACACCAGUGAACCUGAACAAGGAAUGCGCAUGACUACAAGAUCAUCAGGAUUCAACUCAAAUAAUAAAACAAUUCCUGACAAAAAGGUCCAACAGCAGCCUAAAUCUGCAAAAAGUAAGGAAGUAUGCCAGAAAAAAUCUGUGCAAGAAAUUCCUAAGUCAAAAUGCAUAAUUGCACCAAAUGAGCCAGUAACGAGGAGAUCACAGAGACUGCAGCAGUUAACACAUGUACAUGUACCAGCAAGAUCCCUGCGCAACAGGGAAGUUAAAGAAGAAAAAGCUUCGGAAGUUAAACAAAGUAGCCAGGCAAGAAGACAUGCUCAGAAUGUUGCAGCAAAACCACUUAAAUCUGCUGGAAAGAAAAUGGAACAGAAAAACACAAAAACAAAGCCAAAUGAUACAAAUGAGAACAAAGAAAUACAUGUAGAAGUGACGAGGUCUCUGAAAGAGAAAAAAUGUAAAGCAGACAAUAAAAAUGAUAAUUCGAACAACUUCCAACAAAACCUUCAGGGAUCAUCAGGUCCUGAUGAGAGUCUUAAGGAAGUUAAGAAAGACCUAAUGGGCCCUGUAUCUCCUAUUCCUAGCAACACAAAGAAAGUGGAAACAGAUUCUCUUAAGCCAAAUUCUAAGACAGUAACUAAUGAAAAGCAACAAAUACAUCAGAAGGUAAAAAACAGUACAAAACCAAAAAAGAUUUCACAGCCAUCUGUAAGUGAAAUAAAUGUGGCUGAUCAGCCAGAGAACGAUGUGAAAUCCAAAAGGGUAAGCAUCCUUGAACUUUGUGAAGAAAUCGCAGGUGAGAUUGAGUCUGAUACAGUAGAGGUGAAAAAAGAUUCCCCUAAUGCUGAGUGUAGCAAAACAGAAGAAAAGCAUGCCAGCAUACAGUUUCAACAAAGUGAAAUGCUUAUUCAGAAAGAAGCUAGUCAAAGUACUCAAUGCAAACGUUUUUUCCCUAGUAAAAAAGGAAUGCCUGUUAAAUGCACUCUGAAUGGUAGAAAUAACUCCUCAAACAAAAACUCUAAAUGGACCAAAAUUAAAUUACUGAAAGCUAGUAACAUUAAGCAAAGUAACUUAAAUUCUGCAAAUGUCCCCAAGCUUUCUUUGUUAAAAGAUUACACUGAAGUUUCAGAGGCAAGUCAAAUAGCUACAGAAGCAGAGCUUUCGAAGGCACAAGACAAGCUGUCAGUAACAGGACUCUCUGAGAAUGAAAGUGCAACUUGUGUGCAGGAGAAAUCAGAUCCUUCAUCUGAAAGAACUGAAGCUAAAGAAGUGACAUUGGAAAUAAAACAGCCCACAAAGAGAGGUGCAGAAAAUGGUUUGUUGCACAAUUUGACAAAACAUUUAUGUGAGUCAAGACCAGAUGAGAACUUUCGAUUACAUUUGGAAUCAAGUCCAGAAAGUUCUCCAGUAAAGUAUGUCACAGCUGCUAAACCUCCAAAACAAUUUAAAAAAGAACCAGGAGAAAGUGAACCUCAAGGUUUGGCUCCCAAGCAGUUGACACAUACUUCAUUUACAAAUCAAACUUCUGAAACCGCAAACAGGGUUCCAUUGUCAAAUCCUUCAUUAGCAUCAAAAUGCAGUAACUUCCUGUCAUCUGAGGAACAUAGUCAGAAGCUAAAAGAAGCAGGAAAAGAUGGUGAUAAGCAGCUGAUCAUAGAUGCAGGACAGAAGAGAUUUGGUGCUAUUUCCUGUAAUAUUUGUGGAAUGCUUUACACUGCAUCAAAUCCAGAGGAUGAAACCCAACAUCUGCUAUUUCAUAACCAGUUCAUAAGUGCUGUAAAAUAUGUGGUACUGCUCAUUAUUCACCACGAGUGUGGAUCUGAAGAAGAGUUAAUUACCUCUAUUUUUUUGAGUAUGUUUAUACUUCAGAUACACACAACGUAGCCUCCUUCCCCAUUAGAUUCUUAGAAGGGUUGGAAAAAGGAGAGAAUUUUGGCUGAAUAUCCUGAUGGAAAGAUAAUAAUGGUUCUUCCUGAUGACCCAAAGUAUGCACUUAAAAAGGUCGAAGAAAUUAGAGAAAUGGUAGACAAUGACUUAGGAUUUCAGCAAACUCCGCUCAUGUGUUACUCUAGAACAAAAACUCUUCUUUUUAUUUCUAAUGACAAAAAAGUUAUCGGCUGUUUGAUUGCAGAACAUAUCCAGUGGGGCUACAGAGUGAUAGAGGAGAAGGUUCCAGAAGUCAGUUCAGAAAAUGAGAAAGUCAUAUUUGAAAGACAGAAAGCAUGGUGCUGUUCAACUUCUCCAGAACCUGCUAUUUGUGGGAUUAGUCGAAUAUGGGUAUUCAGCAUGAUGCGUCGGAAGAAGAUCGCUUCUCGGAUGAUAGAGUGUCUUAGGAGCAACUUCAUCUAUGGCUCCUACCUAAGCAAAGAAGAAAUCGCUUUCUCUGACCCCACUCCCGAUGGGAAGCUCUUUGCGACGCAGUACUGCGGCACCGGCCAGUUCCUCGUGUACAACUUCCUCAAUGGGCAGCACCAGACUUAACUGCUCGCGGGGCAACUCUGUUUUUACUGGGAGGCUUCUGCCAACACACACGGAGCAGUGGGCACACCCUUCAGCAGAAGCCAGGGCCAUUUUUAUUACAGUGAACUCAGGACUGGUAACAACCGAAAAGGUUGUACUAUUUUAUUAAAAUUGUAAACAAUGCAGUAAUAGGCUAACUUUGUUUUUUUAAAAAGAAAGAUAUUUUAUUAACUUUUGCAAAAGUUUUAUUGUAUUUUAUCUAGUUAGUCAUGUUUACAUGCAGCAGAAAAUUGUUCAUAGUGGACUGUAAACUAAUGCAAAAACUCUGGUCUCAUGGACGAGUACGUGGUGAAGUUCGUAAUGUGGUGAUAUACCAGUGCUGCGGGGUGAGGCCGGGAGCGGUCGCUCGCUCGAUGGCGUCGCAGGCUCCGCUCCAUUGCAUCCAGGCAAGAAGCGUUAGGGCGCAGUGGUCAGGGGUGACAACCCUCACAGACUGUACGCUGCCUUCUGGGGUGCAUCCUGCGCCCUGCUCGGUGCGGGGGAGCCUACUGGCUGUCAGCAGCGGUGGAAUCUGCUUCUACUCACCCCCCCCGUUUCUCCCCCAGAUUAGUUGUAGAGUAAAAGGUGGAACGAAAACCCUGAGGACUGGUGUACUCGUCAUUUUUCUUCAAGUACUGUACUGAGUAUAUACCUUUGUUAGUGGACUUGGCUUUGAUACUUGUCACUCCUUCAUAAAUAUCUCCUCUUUUCAAGGGUUUGUACGUUGAAAAACUGCUGUGGCCUUUCUUGAUCUGUACAUAAUGUAGAUAGAUUAAAAAUAAAAUACUUGAUAGCUUUUUUAAAGUUA